AAUGAACGUUGGCGGCGUGGAUUAGGCAUGCAAGUCGAGCGAGAAUUUGCGAUUGGAAGCUUCGGCCGAAGAAAGUGAAGGAAAGCGGCAAACGGCGUAGUAAGGCGUAGGUACGUACCCUCGGGUCGGGAAUAGCCAUGGGAAACUGUGGGUAAUGCCCGAUAAUCUCUGCGGAGCAAAGGUGUGAUUCCGCCGGAGGAGCGGCUUACGUGAUAUUAGCUAGUUGGUGGGGUAAUGGCCUACCAAGGCAACGAUGUCUAGGGGGUGUGAGAGCAUGGCCCCCACGACCGGAACUGAGACACUGUCCGGACACCUACGGGUGGCUGCAGUCGAGAAUCUUCCGCAAUGGGCGAAAGCCUGACGGAGCGACGCCGCGUGGUGGAUGAAGGCCCUUGGGUUGUAAACACCUGUCAGAGGGGAUGAAAUCAUGGUUGGCAAUCCUUCCAUGUUGACAGAGCCUCAGAGGAAGCACGGGCUAAGUCGUGCCAGCAGCCG
rnacentral:rRNA from 1 species